rnacentral:rRNA from 1 species
ACUGAACGCUGGCGGAAUGCUUUACACAUGCAAGUCGAACGGUAGAGGGGGCAACCCCUCGAGAGUGGCGAACGGGUGAGUAAUAUAUCGGAACGUGCCCAGUCGUGGGGGAUAACGUAGCGAAAGUUACGCUAAUACCGCAUACGAUCUAAGGAUGAAAGCGGGGGAUCGCACGACCUCGCGCGAUUGGAGCGGCCGAUAUCAGAUUAGGUAGUUGGUGGGGUAAAGGCUCACCAAGCCAACGAUCUGUAGCUGGUCUGAGAGGACGACCAGCCACACUGGAACUGAGACACGGUCCAGACUCCUACGGGAGGCAGCAGUGGGGAAUUUUGGACAAUGGACGCAAGUCUGAUCCAGCCAUUCCGCGUGCAGGAUGAAGGCCCUCGGGUUGUAAACUGCUUUUGUACGGAACGAAAAGGUCUCUCUUAAUACGGGGGGCUCAUGACGGUACCGUAAGAAUAAGCACCGGCUAACUACGUGCCAGCAGCCGCCGCCG